GGCGCUUGAGGCUUUUUGCCUCAUGACGUAAAGGUGGUUUGUUACCGUGUUGUGCGGCAGAAAGCAGAAAGCCCCGUAGUUAAUUUUCAUUAACCCACGAGGCCCCCUGUAUGUCUCAUCAACAACAGUAUGGCCUCUUACCGUGCUCAAUGCAAGGAGGAGUAAACCAU
rnacentral:antisense_RNA from 1 species